rnacentral:rRNA from 1 species
GAUGGUAGUGUAUUGGACUACCAUGGCGUUAACGGGUGACGGAGAAUUAGGGUUCGAUUCCGGAGAGGGAGCCUGAGAAACGGCUACCACAUCUAAGGAAGGCAGCAGGCGCGUAAAUUACCCAAUCCUGACUCAGGGAGGUAGUGACAAGAAAUAACGGACCGAAGCCUAUGUUUCGGGAUUGCAAUGAGUAGAAUUUAAACCCCUUUACGAGGAUCAAUUGGAGGGCAAGUCUGGUGCCAGCAGCCGCGGUAAUA